UACGUAGGGUGCAAGCGUUAAUCGGAAUUACUGGGCGUAAAGCGUGCGCAGGCGGUUAUGCAAGACAGAGGUGAAAUCCCCGGGCUCAACCUGGGAACUGCCUUUGUGACUGCAUAGCUAGAGUACGGUAGAGGGGGGUGGAAUUCCGCGUGUAGCAGUGAAAUGCGUAGAUAUGCGGAGGAACACCGAUGGCGAAGGCAGUCCCCUGGGCCUGUACUGACGCUCAUGCACGAAAGCGUGGGGAGCAAACAGG
rnacentral:rRNA from 1 species